rnacentral:rRNA from 1 species
UACGGGGGGUGCAAGCGUUGUUCGGAAUUACUGGGCGUAAAGGGCUCGUAGGCGGCUAACUAAGUCAGACGUGAAAUCCCUCGGCUUAACCGGGGAACUGCGUCUGAUACUGGAUGGCUAGAGGUUGGGAGAGGGAUGCGGAAUUCCAGGUGUAGCGGUGAAAUGCGUAGAUAUCUGGAGGAACACCGGUGGCGAAGGCGGCAACCUGGACCAAUUCUGACGCUGAGGAGCGAAAGCCAGGGGAGCAAACGGG